AGUAUUCUUGCCUGGAGAAUCCCAUGGACAGAAGAGCCUGGCAGGCUACAGUCCAUUGGGUUGCAAACAGUCAGACACGACUGAAGCAGCUUAGCACGCAAAUAUUCUGGAAUUAGAUAGUGAUGAUGGCUGUAUAUUUCUGUGAAUAUACACAAAGUGAAAGUGAAAGUCACUCAGUCGUGUCCAACUCUUGUGACCCCAUGGACUAUACAGUCCAUGGAAUUCUCCAGGCCAGAACACUGGAGUGGGUAGCUGUUCCCUUCUACAGGGGAUCUUCCCAGCCCAGGGCUCAAACCCAGGUCUCCCUCAUUGCAGGCAGAUUCUUUCUUGACCAGCUGAGCCAUCAGGGAAGCCCUGAAUAUAAACAAAACUACUGUUUAAAAACCCUAAAAAAGGCUGAAUUUUGUGGUAUGUAAACUAUAGCUCAAUAAAGCUGUUAUUUAACACAAACAAACAUGGCAGUGGGCUUCCCCAGUGGCUCAGCGUAAAGAAUUGCCCGCCAGCGCAGGAGACAAGGCUUCCAUCCCUGAUCUGGGAAGAUCCCACAUGCCACGGAGCAGCUAAGUCCAUGCUCCACAACCAUUGAGCCUGUGCUCUGUAGCCUGGCAACCGCAACUACUGAGCCCACGCGCUGCAACCACCGAGGCCCUAGAGCCUGUGCUCUGCAACAAGAGAAGCCGCAUCAAUGAGAAGCCCUCACGCCACAACCGGAAAGCCCUCCCAGCAAUGAAGACCUAGCACAACCAAAUAUAAAUAAAUAAAUAAAAGUAUUUUAAAACACACACAGUAGGCCUUCUCUGAUGGCGCAGUGGAUGGAAAUCUGCCUGCCAAUGCAGGGGACAUGGGUUUGAUCCCUGGUCAGCCGGAGCAGCCAAAAACAAACAAAGGUUUAAACAUUUUCAAGAAAAGAAAAGAGGAAAGUGACCCCACCGCAGAUUCCCCCUGGUAGCCACACUCUUCACUCCAUAAAUAUUCAGGGAGGGCCUGUUCCCCACAGACUGUGGACCCAACAGGAAGCAAACAAACAACUCAUCCCCCAAGCAGAGGCCACCCCAGGGUUCAGAGCCCAGGACUAAAGCCUGCACUGAAGUCUCCUUAAUUUCCGAUGACUGACCUCUGCCCCUCCCCUCCCCUCCUCCUUCUCUCUGGUUCCCCAACCCCAGCUGUCGGGAAGCCCAUCCCUGCUCCCUGAACCUCGGCCCCUCCUUCCUCACCGUUCUUCCUACCUGCACAACCUUCCCAGCACCUGCCGAAACCCCAACAAGUCAAACCCAGCUCUCCGACCACUCUGCGCCUCACCUGGGCAGCUGGUUGUAGCAAAACACACCACCUUGUCAGCCGCCCAUUUAGAAUCCGUGACCUAGGACUCCCCUGGUGGUCCAGUGGCUGGGAGUCCUCACUCCCAAUGCAGGGGGCCUGGGUUCCAUCCCUGGUCAGGGAACUAGAUCCUACACACUGCAAUUAAGAGUUCACAUGCCCCAACUAAGACCCAGUGCAACCAAAUAAAUAAGUAAAUAACUAUCUAAAAAAUAAAAUAAAAUCCAUGACUUCAGUCCUGAGUGGGUCCUGGGUGCUGCCUGGAUGUCAUAGUCAUUCACUCCCUCUGACUGUGGUCCACCUUCUCUCCUCUCUGUGAAACGAGGACACGAAUAUUUCUGCCUUCUGGGGCUCUGGGCUGCAUUAGCACCUGACACAUCGUAGGCCCUCAAUCAGUGAUAGCUGUGGGAUAAAGAAUCUGCCCGCAAUGUAGGAAACCUGGGUUCGAUCCCUGGGUUGGGAAGAUCCCCUGGAGAAGGGAAAGGCUACCCCUUCUAGUAUUCUGGCCUGGAGAAUUCCAUGGACUAUAUAAUCCACGGGGUUGCAAAGAGUCGGACACUAGUCAGUGACUUUCACUUUCAUGGGGUCCUUCAUUAUCUCUGGUCUUCCAUCCAGGGGCUCCUGGUGACCUGGUCUCCAAAGAUACCUUCCCUGCAGUCAAUAUUUUGUUCCACUGACUGGGCAGCCAGGGGCUCUUUGUCAGAGUGGCUCAACUUCUGGAGAAAGAGAAGGGGACGUAGCCCAGGGCAGAGGAAGUGUGGCUGAGCUCAGGGUGAGAGCGAGGAGGCUGCACCUUCUUGCAGCCAAUGUCCACGUGAUGGGCUGAGCCUGAGUCAGACCUGGGGCCAAGAUGGAAAUUUACCAGGGCCUCAGAAAGGGAAUGUGGAGGAGUUGUGGGGGGUGCAGAUAGUUGGCACCCCAAUCUGGACCUUCAAGGAGGAGGGCCGCCCCCAGGAAUCCAGGCUGCACUUCCUCCCAGGGAACUGAGACCAAAGCCGUGAGGAAGGAGGAAGUGUAAGCCUUGCUCUCCAGUGACUCACGUCGUCCUUUGGGGCAAGUCAACUCUCACCACUAUCGGAAGCCUGUCCGCCUUCCCCCGGGGAAUCAUCCGCCCUGGCAUGCAGGAUCUUAGUUUCCUGACCAGGGAUCGAACUUGCACCCCCUGCAGUGGAAGCAUGGAAUCUUAACUACUGGACCAUCAGGGAAGCUCCCGUGACGUGCAGCUUGUCUUUGAACUGGGAUAUUAACAGUAGCUACUUCAUAGAUUAUUGUUUUUUACCAGUAGGUAUUCACAAUAUCAGCAUUGUAACUUAAUAAAACCAUUUCUCUGAAAA